GCUGACGAGUGGCGGACGGGUGAGUAAUGUCUGGGAAACUGCCUGAUGGAGGGGGAUAACUACUGGAAACGGUGGCUAAUACCGCAUAACGUCGCAAGACCAAAGAGGGGGACCUUCGGGCCUCUUGCCAUCAGAUGUGCCCAGAUGGGAUUAGCUUGUUGGUGAGGUAACGGCUCACCAAGGCGACGAUCCCUAGCUGGUCUGAGAGGAUGACCAGCCACACUGGAACUGAGACACGGUCCAGACUCCUACGGGAGGCAGCAGUGGGGAAUAUUGCACAAUGGGCGCAAGCCUGAUGCAGCCAUGCCGCGUGUAUGAA
rnacentral:rRNA from 1 species